rnacentral:rRNA from 1 species
UACGAAGGGGCUAGCGUUGCUCGGAAUUACUGGGCGUAAAGCGUGCGCAGGCGGUUCGUUGUGUCGGCGGUGAAAGCCCCGGGCUCAACCUGGGAAUGGCCGUUGAAACUGGCGAACUGGAGUGUGGCAGAGGGGGGUGGAAUUCCGCGUGUAGCAGUGAAAUGCGUAGAGAUGCGGAGGAACACCGAUGGCGAAGGCAGCCCCCUGGGCUGACACUGACGCUCAGGCACGAAAGCGUGGGGAGCAAACAGG